CGAAAGUUUGCCGGCUUCGGCGGUGAUGGAUCACCGUUUCAGUGGCAUUUAAAUCCCCGGCGCUCCUCAGUCUAGGUGACGCGCAGUCGCCCCCCCAGGCAGCUGCGGCGGCGGCAGCAGCUGCUGCGGCUGCAACGGCAGAUUCGGAGUGCUGGGGCGAAGGAGAGCAGAAGCCGCCUUCUGCGCGCGCCCGACUCCGCUCCACCCUCCCCCCAGCUCCGGGAGGUGGGGGCUGAGAGGCAUCUCCCGCCCCUGACCCUCUCCCCACCAUGCACAGAAAGAUGAACUGGCAAGAGGUCUGUUUUGCCUGAACCCAUCAACAGCUGGGAGAUUAAUCAUCCACACUGAGAAUGUGCAGGGAUUUGUGGGGAAGGGGGUUGAAAUGUAGAUGUUUGAAACAAAUGUGUAUAAAAGUGUAUAAAUAAAUGAGUUGUUGAUAACUUA